rnacentral:rRNA from 1 species
UACGUAGGGUGCAAGCGUUAUCCGGAAUUAUUGGGCGUAAAGAGCUCGUAGGCGGUUUGUCGCGUCUGCUGUGAAAACUCGGGGCUUAACCCCGGGCCUGCAGUGGGUACGGGCAGACUAGAGUGCGGUAGGGGAGACUGGAAUUCCGGGUGUAGCGGUGGAAUGCGUAGAGAUCCGGAAGAACACCGGUGGCGAAGGCGGGU